CAGCGACAUAGCCAUUAUGCUAACUGCUGGUUCCCAAGAGUGGGAUACAGUUUGACCCCCUUGACUUUGAAUCAUUCCUUCCCUGUGGUCCCCUGGCCAUGGAGAAAAACAGAAGUUCCACGUGAGGUGUGCUACAUCAUGAAGAGCCCUAGUAGGGUAAGGUUUGUUGGCCUAAAUAAACAAGAGUCACGAUGCCAGAAUUUUAGGAAUUCAUUGUGAUCCAGAACGGGUGUGACUGAUCCCUGCCUGAGUCUCAUCUGGGCAGUGACAGUGCCGACAGACAGCAGUCCUACUGUGAGGAGCUCUGGCCCCAGGUCUCGCUCUGUGUCUGUAAGUGCUCCUCCCAUCCCCACCAGGAGACUUUCUAACCGUCUUCACCUGGUUUUCCCACGCCCAGAUAGGAGAGAGCAAUCUGGGAAGACUUCUUCCCUCCCAGAAUCUGGGGGAGAUAAAGCACCGAGCCGAGCCCCGUAGUCAAUGGGGCAACAGGAGAGAGCAGGGUAGAGAAAGGAUCCCGAACUCAAUUCCACCAAGUUUGUAUUCUGUGCCCUAGCCUCGUGAGUUUGUCCUACUGCACAUAUUAAUAGGGCCUGAAAGGGGACCAGUUCAUUGGUUGCUUAGCUACGAGCAGUUCUCCCCCUUCCCCGUGUGGAAUGGAGGGAAAUGUGCCCGGCUGGGCAGCCCCGGGGCUGCUUGGAGGCUCUUUCACUUUGUCCAGCAAAGUUCACCUCCUGCUGGGCCUCCCCAUAGCACCUAGACCCUAAAGGCUCAUUGGAGGUCGGAGGUGAUUGGAAAAUUAAUAGCAGAUCCAGAGUAACCCAGGGAUUUUGGAAUCAUAUCCUGUUUCCACCUCUUUAAUUCUGGCCCUUAGAGAGGAGUUUGGGUUUUCCUUCACCUUGUUCCUUCUUUUCCUCGCCCUUCCUCUCUCUUUUUUCCUCCCUAGUAGCUUACAACAGCACCAUCUUUAAGGUCUGAUCUUAACUAGUUUGUACAGUUAAAGGAUCAUGAGGUCUUAUUCCAUAAUCAAAUAUAAUUGAUUCUCUCUCACUGUGUCUGAAAGAAGCCAUUUCUUCCAGAUUGGAAAAGCAGACACCCUCGGCUGCACCGUCGUCCUGCUGUUUCCCGUGCAGUUAGUGACUCUGGAGGAAGUAGCUUUUAGAGACAAGAGCUCCAGGCAAACUUGCGAAGUAGACUUUUAUCCAUUGGGCUGUUCUACCUACUUUGCCGUGUUUUUUUCCCCCAUUAAAACGUAUUUACUC